CGCGGCCAUGGCCGACGGGUCCGAUGUGGGGCUCGAUCUCACCGGAGGCUGGUUCGACGCCGGCGACCACGUC
rnacentral:tRNA from 1 species